AUUGAACGCUGGCGGCAGGCCUAACACAUGCAAGUCGAACGGUAACAGGAAGCAGCUUGCUGCUUUGCUGACGAGUGGCGGACGGGUGAGUAAUGUCUGGGAAACUGCCCGAUGGAGGGGGAUAACUACUGGAAACGGUAGCUAAUACCGCAUAACGUCGCAAGACCAAAGAGGGGGACCUUAGGGCCUCUUGCAUUCGGAUGUGCCCAGAUGGGAUUAGCUAGUAGGUGGGGUAACGGCUCACCUAGGCGACGAUCCCUAGCUGGUCUGAGAGGAUGACCAGCCACACUGGAACUGAGACACGGUCCAGACUCCUACGGGAGGCAGCAGUGGGGAAUAUUGCACAAUGGGCGCAAGCCUGAUGCAGCCAUGCCGCGUGUAUGAAGAAGGCCUUCGGGUUGUAAAGUACUUUCAGCGGGGAGGAAGGGAGUAAAGUUAAUACCUUUGCUCAUUGACGUUACCCGCAGAAGAAGCACCGGCUAACUCCGUG
rnacentral:rRNA from 1 species